rnacentral:rRNA from 1 species
UACGUAGGGUGCAAGCGUUAAUCGGAAUUACUGGGCGUAAAGCGUGCGCAGGCGGUUUUGUAAGUCUGACGUGAAAUCCCCGGGCUCAACCUGGGAAUUGCGUUGGAGACUGCAAGGCUGGAGUCUGGCAGGGGGGGGGUAGAAUUCCACGUGUAGCAGUGAAAUGCGUAGAGAUGUGGAGGAACACCGAUGGCGAAGGCAGCCCCCUGGGUCAAGACUGACGCUCAUGCACGAAAGCGUGGGGAGCAAACAGG